UACGGAGGAUCCAAGCGUUAUCCGGAUUUACUGGGUUUAAAGGGUGCGUAGGCGGCUUUGUAAGUCAGGAGUGAAAGUUUGCGGCUCAACCGUAAAAUUGCUUCCGAUACUGCAUGGCUAGAAUUAGGAUGAGGUCAGCGGAAUGUGGCAUGUAGCGGUGAAAUGCAUAGAUAUGCCAUAGAACACCAAUUGCGAAGGCAGCUGGCUAGACCUGGAUUGACGCUGAGGCACGAAAGCGUGGGGAGCGAACAGG
rnacentral:rRNA from 1 species